rnacentral:rRNA from 1 species
UACGUAGGGUCCAAGCGUUAUCCGGAAUCACUGGGCGUAAAGGGCGCGUAGGCGGCCUGGCAAGUGGAAGGUGAAAUCCCUCGGCUUAACCGAGGAACUGCCCUCCAAACUGCUUGGCUUGAGUCCGGGAGAGGUGAGUGGAAUUCCCAGUGUAGCGGUGAAAUGCGUAGAUAUUGGGAGGAACACCAGUGGCGAAGGCGGCUCACUGGACCGGAACUGACGCUGAGGCGCGAAAGCGUGGGGAGCAAACGGG